rnacentral:lncRNA from 1 species
UUCUUUUUGUUAAUAUUCUAAUAAAAAGCUAUGUCGUUGUUUGGUUGGAUCCGGAGUCCAGAGAUCGUAUGGUGAAUAGUAUAAUGUGUUUCCGAUUUAGAAUAAUGUGUGUUUAGUUACAAAACUCCAAAACUAUGUUGUUUUCUUUUGAGAACUGGCUUUCAAACCAAAACUAUAUUGUUUGCCUUAAUUACCAUGUUUAUGUCGUUAGAUCCAAAUCCAUUAAUUUGUAACCCGAUGACAUAAAUAAACAAAAUUUCUGACCAAGCCAUUUCCAUGAACGUAUUUAUCAAAAAAGUCUAAGAAAGUAAUUUUGGUUUUAUAUGCCCUUUUUCAAAAAAAAAAAAAAAUUGGUUUUAUAAGUAUGGAAGGAAAUGGUAUUCACGUGUAUUCUUGUCUAUAGAGUAAUUGUCAUGCGUGAGCGUGCGUGUCGACGCCGGAGUCCGUCGUCCUUCAGUUUAAUAGUUUCAGAAUUAUCUUCUCCUCAUCUCCUUUAGUGGCCGCCUUGUCUGACCUCUGGCCAAACACCCACCGUGGUGGUUCUGAUCUUGGAGUGAAGACGCGGUUACUUGGAGGGUUGGCGCGGUGAAGAUGAUAGUUGGUUGGGUCCUGUUUCCGGGAGGUGGAGGCUUCCACAGCUUCGCCGCCGCCGGUUCUUGUCGCCGCGAGGUGGAAGCUUCUUCAGUUUCGCCGUAGUCGAUUCUAGUCGCCGGG